rnacentral:rRNA from 1 species
AGUGAACGCUGCCGGUACGCCUAACACAUGCAAGUCGAACGGCAGCACAGUAAGAGCUUGCUCUUACGGGUGGCGAGUGGCGGACGGGUGAGGAAUACAUCGGAAUCUACUUUUUCGUGGGGGAUAACGUAGGGAAACUUACGCUAAUACCGCAUACGACCUACGGGUGAAAGCAGGGGAUCUUCGGACCUUGCGCGAUUGAAUGAGCCGAUGUCGGAUUAGCUAGUUGGCGGGGUAAAGGCCCACCAAGGCGACGAUCCGUAGCUGGUCUGAGAGGAUGAUCAGCCACACUGGAACUGAGACACGGUCCAGACUCCUACGGGAGGCAGCAGUGGGGAAUAUUGGACAAUGGGCGCAAGCCUGAUCCAGCCAUACCGCGUGGGUGAAGAAGGCCUUCGGGUUGUAAAGCCCUUUUGUUGGGAAAGAAAAGCAGCAGGUUAAUACCCCGCUGUUCUGACGGUACCCAAAGAAUAAGCACCGGCUAACUUCGUG